GGUGGCGUGGUGAAGUAGCUAACACUCCGGUCUGCAAAACCGGCACUCGUGGGUGCAAAUCCCACCGCCACCU
rnacentral:tRNA from 1 species